rnacentral:rRNA from 1 species
UAACUUGAGAGUUUGAUCCUGGCUCAGAGCGAACGCUGGCGGCAUGCUUAACACAUGCAAGUCGAACGAAGGCCCGGAGCUUGCUCCGGUCACCUUAGUGGCGGACGGGUGAGUAACGCGUGGGAACCUGCCCUUUAGUGGGGAAUAACGUCUGGAAACGGACGCUAAUACCGCAUACGCCCUUUUGGGGAAAGGCUUCGGCCGCUGUUGGAGGGUCCCGCGUCUGAUUAGCUUGUUGGUGAGGUAACGGCUCACCAAGGCGACGAUCAGUAGCUGGUCUGAGAGGAUGAUCAGCCACACUGGGACUGAGACACGGCCCAGAC